UACGUAGGGUGCAAGCGUUAAUUGGAAUUACUGGGCGUAAAGCGUGCGCAGGCGGUGAUGUAAGACAGUUGUGAAAUCCCCGGGCUCAACCUGGGAACUGCAUCUGUGACUGCAUCGCUGGAGUGCGGCAGAGGGGGAUGGAAUUCCGCGUGUAGCAGUGAAAUGCGUAGAUAUGCGGAGGAACACCGAUGGCGAAGGCAAUCCCCUGGGCCUGCACUGACGCUCAUGCACGAAAGCGUGGGGAGCAAACAGG
rnacentral:rRNA from 1 species